GGCUAUAUGGCCUGGUCUUCAUUAUUCAAUCCCCACCAAAACCCUAAUUUCACCUCUUAUUUAUAUCUCUCUCUCUAACCUAUCAACAUAUCUAUCUCUUCACAACGCCGACUUCGUUCUUCGUAUCAGGUAUAAACUUCUUCAUGUUUUAGUAUCAUCAUUCAUAAAUCAUAUAAGCCAUCAACGAUAAAUUCCUUCUGUUAACUCGAUAUCAGAUGGAAAUCAUAUAGAUGCAAAAACAAUUCUUUAGAUCAGAGCCUCAUGGACAUGCAGGUUCCUUCUAAAUCAGUGGAUUUUUGCGUUUUCUCGUAGGUUCUACAAUUUCUUUCUGAUUUUUUCUCACUAUAUAUUCUUCGAAUCUUGCUCAAUGAUGAUUCAGUUUGCUUUAACCACACCGAAGAGAAACCAAUGUGUUCGAACAUACCUGGAUUUCGUUUAAGAGUUCUUAUUCCAUUUGAUAAGUAAUUUGAAAGUGGAAUCCGUAUAACUUUUGAAUCAAAUCCACUUAGCGUUCAGAUUCAUUGAGAUUCUCAUGUCGAAAACACUGGCCUUUGUCUGAGAGCAAUUUUAAAUCCAUCAAACUGUUUUUUUAAUAAAAUUUUGCCAUUGAUGAUAACACUGAAGGCUUGUUUCUCACAGACAUUCGCAGUGGCCGCCUAAGAUCUUUCGCCUUUCGCCGGGCUUGAGAGAUUGUGCUGUUUUAUCCUUCCUUGGAUGUCUGAGGCAUUCUUGUUUUAUUGUUUUUCUUACAAAUUCUAUUUUAUUAUUUAAAAAAACAUUAUGUUAUUUUUUAUUGCAAAAUGUUUUGUAUGUUCCUAAAAUUAUAUUAUUUUGAAUCAAAAUAAAUGUUGAUGAUGAUAAUCCGAAGGCUUGUUUCUCAAGACAUUCGCAGUGGCCGACUAAGAACUUUCGCCUUCGCCAGGCUUGAGAGUUAAUGCUGCUUUUUUCCUUCCUUGGAUGUCUGAAACUAAUUUACAUAUGUUUUUAAGCUUUUUAUAUUCAUGUAGUUGUAUUUAUGUUAAAUUAACUUCCUUGGAUUUAAUAGUUUAUCUUAAUUUUGAUAUUUAGGUUUUUCGGUUUAAAUAUAUAUCAAAUAUCUGUAAGUAAAUAAGACAAUAGUUUACGAGAUAUGGCGUAUUUUGCACUCAUUAUAUAUUUAAGGCAAUCAUAUUUUAAUGUAAUUUCGAUUAACUCUGUUUCUAGUUAAUAUUUUGUGUUUUGUACUGUUUGUUUUAUUUUAUUUAUUUUCAAAAAUUUUGUGGGAAUUUUGUUAAAAAUUUAAUGUGACUACGUUAAUAUCUCUAAAUACUGUAUGAACACUGCCACAUAAUUUGUUUCGACUGUAAUAGUUCUAAACUAUUUUAGACGAAAAUAGUUGUAGUUGAUAAAUGAAAGAUUAGCAAUUGUUAGGAGAGUUUUUAAGUAUUUUGAGAGGUUAAAAAAGUGAAGAUGAUAUUCUUUGAUUGGGUAACAAUUGUAAAUGUUUGUAUUUAGAAAAACAAAUUCUUUAAGUUAUUAAAAAAUCCGACGACUAUAUUUCUUGAAAAUGGAGAGGGAAGCUUCAAGAAUGCGCCGAAAAUGCUAUGAAUUAUGGACAUUUAUGCUGUUUCUUUCUUCAUUUUCAAGAAAUAUAGCUGUUAGUUUUUUAAAAAAUAUUCGUUCUUUUUACUAUACAAGUUAAUAACAUCUACAGUAAGUUAGUCACAAAUCUAUCGUCUUUUUAAAUUAAAUAUCUCUCAAAAUGUCUUCUAACGUUUCCUUGAAAUAUAGUUGAUGUUUUGGUUGUUAUAAUAAAAUUUCUAUUUGAUAUGGAAAUAGCUUGGCCCAAUACUCAAGUUUUUGAGUUGUAGUAAAUUUUGCUAAUAUGACUCAGUUUUUCAGUGACAUUUUCGUCAAGAAGUGCCUAAAGUUGUAGAAUUAGUGUUGGCUGAAAGGUGGAGAUGAUUUUAACUAUGGUUAAAAGCAUGUUUUUUACCGGGGGUAUAAUUUUAGCUUGUAUGAUAUGGUAUUUUGUAUAUUUACAACGAACUUUAUAAAAUUAAUAUUGUGUUGUGCAAGUAGCCCUUAAAAAGCAAAAUAGUCGGAUCUAAUGGAAUAUGAAUUUAGAUUUUAGUUCCUAUAAGUUUUUCUUGGUUAUAAAUUAAUAUGCUUUAAUAAUCCAUUGUGCAUUGAGAUAUUUUAAAAAAAUUACGUAUAAUUGAAAAAAUAUUUUAGAAUUUUGAAUUCAUAAGAAAGUAAAAAUAUAUUGAAUUAUGAUAAUAGUUUUUUUUAAAUUUAAAUUAAAAAAAUAAUUUAAGUAAAUAAAAUAUAUUAAUAUACUUAAAAUUUGAAAUUAAAAGGUUAAUUUUUUAAUGAAAUUGAAAUUUAUUUAUUAUUAUAUUUAUUGUAAUUAUUAAAAUAUUAUUAAUAAAAUAAAAAACUCAAAGAAUAAAAAUUAAUUUAAAAUAAAUGAUAUAUGACAAUUUGAAUGAGAAUGUAAUAAAAAAUAAUAUCAUUUUAUUUUAAACCUUGAUUGCAAAACUGUAUCGACUGCUUGACAAUGUUAGUUCCUCUUUUGGAAAAUAAAUACAUGUCUUUCAAAUACUAAUUAUUUUAUAAUUGUUUAUUUUGGGUAUAUAAUUAGUUCUUUUCAUUCUUAAAAUAAAAUAAUGCAACCGUAAUACACCAAGGAGCCCCAACUGUCAUGGUGAAUAUCCUCUCGUGUACAUUCUCCAAAAUAAUAAUAUUCAUUCUCUUCCCCUUUGGACAUAAAUACGACUAUUUCCUCAACAGUGAGCACUUUUAAUCGAACCACAAACAUUCAUGUUACAUGCCCAAACAACUACAACGUUAGAGCUGGCUUCCCCGUUAAUCAACAUUUUUAACUACAUUAACAAAUCAUACAUGGUAACCAGACUUUUUGCAUAUUUGAUUACUAAUGUUUUGGCCUAACUAGCUAUAUUCUUAUGAAUAUGUAAGCAAACAAUGGCGGAUGGCGAUGUUUUCCUUCAAUUGUCACAUUCCGUUCAUGAGUGUAAUCUCUAUAGUUACGAGGUCUUUUAAUCGACCGUAACAGCCUAGAGAGCCAUAGAAUUCUCUAAAACUCUAGUAUCUUGAAACCUG
rnacentral:lncRNA from 1 species